rnacentral:rRNA from 1 species
GACGAACGCUGGCGGCGUGCCUAACACAUGCAAGUCGAACGGAAGUUAGAGCUUCGGUUUUAACUUUAGUGGCGAACGGGUGAGUAACGCGUGAGGAACCUGCCUUUCAGUGGGGGACAACAGUUGGAAACGACUGCUAAUACCGCAUGAUGCUUUUGGGAGACAUCUCCUGGAAGCCAAAGCUUUAUGUGCUGAAAGAUGGCCUCGCGUCUGAUUAGCUAGUUGGUGAGGUAACGGCUCACCAAGGCGACGAUCAGUAGCCGGUCUGAGAGGAUGAACGGCCACAUUGGGACUGAGAUACGGCCCAGACUCCUACGGGAGGCAGCAGUGGGGAAUAUUGGGCAAUGGGGGAAACCCUGACCCAGCAACGCCGCGUGAGUGAUGAAGUAUUUCGGUAUGUAAAAACUCUAUCAGCAGGGAAGAUAAUGACGGUACCUGACUAAGAAGCACCGGCUAAAUACGUG